rnacentral:rRNA from 1 species
AGUGAACGCUGGCGGUAGGCCUAACACAUGCAAGUCGAACGGCAGCACAGUAAGAGCUUGCUCUUACGGGUGGCGAGUGGCGGACGGGUGAGGAAUACAUCGGAAUCUACUCUUUCGUGGGGGAUAACGUAGGGAAACUUACGCUAAUACCGCAUACGACCUACGGGUGAAAGCAGGGGAUCUUCGGACCUUGCGCGAUUGAAUGAGCCGAUGUCGGAUUAGCUAGUUGGCGGGGUAAAGGCCCACCAAGGCGACGAUCCGUAGCUGGUCUGAGAGGAUGAUCAGCCACACUGGAACUGAGACACGGUCCAGACGCCUACGGGAGGCAGCAGUGGGGAAUAUUGGACAAUGGGCGCAAGCCUGAUCCAGCCAUACCGCGUGGGUGAAGAAGGCCUUCGGGUUGGAAAGCCCUUUUGUUGGGAAAGAAAAGCAGCAGGUUAAUACCCCGCUGUUCUGACGGUACCCAAAGAAUAAGCACCGGCUAACUUCGUG